rnacentral:rRNA from 1 species
GUUUCCGUAGGUGACCUGCGGAAGGAUCAUUAUUGAAUGAAUGUAGAGUCGGUUGUCGCUGGUCCUUUCGGGGACAUGUGCACGCCUUCUCUUUCAUCCACACACACCUGUGCACUCGUGAGACGGAAGCCCUCGGGCGUCCGUCUGCUCUACAUAAACUCAUAUCUAUAAUUUGAAUGUAAUUGAUGUAACACAUCUUUAAACUAAGUUUCAACAACGGAUCUCUUGGCUCUCGCAUCGAUGAAGAACGCAGCGAAAUGCGAUAAGUAAUGUGAAUUGCAGAAUUCAGUGAAUCAUCGAAUCUUUGAACGCACCUUGCGCUCCUUGGUAUUCCUUGGAGCAUGCCUGUUUGAGUAUCAUGAAAUUAUCAAAAUAAUUCUUUUGUUCAUUCAAUUGAAUUUUAUUUUGGACUUGGAGGUCUGCAGAUUCACGUCCGCUCCUUUUAAAUAUAUUAGCUGGAUCUCAGUGAGCUCGGUUCCACUCGGCGUGAUAAGUAUCACUCGCUGAGGACACUGUAAAAGGUGGCCGGGAUUGCGGAUGAACCGCUUCUAAUCGUCCAUUUACUUGGACAACAAUACUUUAUGAUCUGAUCUCAAAUCAGGUAGGACUACCCGCUGAACUUAAGCAUAUCAAUAAGCGGAGGAAAAGAAACUAACAAGGAUUCCCCUAGUAACGGCGAGUGAAGCGGGAAGAGCUCAAAUUUAAAAUCUGGCGGUGUACUCCGUCCGAGUUGUAGUCUAGAGAAGCAUCAUCCGUGCCGGACCAUGUACAAGUCUCUUGGAACAGAGCGUCAUAGAGGGUGAGAAUCCCGUCCUUGACAUGGACUCCCGGUGCUUUGUGUUGAGCUCUCAACGAGUCGAGUUGUUUGGGAAUGCAGCUCAAAAUGGGUGGUAAAUUCCAUCUAAAGCUAAAUAUUGGCGAGAGACCGAUAGCGA